rnacentral:rRNA from 1 species
GACGAACGCUGGCGGCGUGCUUAACACAUGCAAGUCGAACGGAAAGGCCCUUCGGGGUACUCGAGUGGCGAACGGGUGAGUAACACGUGGGUGAUCUGCCCUGCACUUUGGGAUAAGCCUGGGAAACUGGGUCUAAUACCGAAUAGGACCACGCGCUUCAUGGUGUGUGGUGGAAAGCUUUUGCGGGGUGGGAUGGGCCCGCGGCCUAUCAGCUUGUUGGUGGGGUAAUGGCCUACCAAGGCGACGACGGGUAGCCGGCCUGAGAGGGUGACCGGCCACACUGGGACUGAGAUACGGCCCAGACUCCUACGGGAGGCAGCAGUGGGGAAUAUUGCACAAUGGGCGCAAGCCUGAUGCAGCGACGCCGCGUGAGGGAUGACGGCCUUCGGGUUGUAAACCUCUUUCAAUAGGGACGAAGCGCAAGUGACGGUACCUAUAGAAGAAGCACCGGCCAACUACGUG